AUAAUAAUAAAAUAGACAAAAUUAAUGUGACAUCCGUUUGAUCAGUCGGUCACAUAAAUAUCACGUUACAUGUCAUAUUGUUAUAUCAAAUUCUACUCAUCAUUAUUAUAAUAUAAUAAUUAUAAAAUAAAUAAAAAUAAAAAUAAAACAAAAUUGUUAUAUUGAUCUAACAAGGAAACUGCGGCGGAAGAAAGAAUGAGACGAGGUUUUUGUUGUUGUUAACAAGGAAUGGCUGAUCUUCGACGUUGAACGUUCCUUCUCCCUCCCUCGUCAACGUUGAACGUUCCUUCUCCCGGCGAUCUUCGAUCUGGAGCUAUAACAACAGUGAUGAUUAAAACGAAAGAAGAUCGGAGGAAGCCUCUCCCUCCCCUAUUCCUCCGCCGCUGCCGACGUCCAUGCUGCGGCGGUGAUCCGGUUGGUCUCUGAGAGAUGAGAAGAAACCGACGGGGUGGGGUGGAUGUGAUUUCUUGAUGAACGUGAUGAGAUUCCGCCAUUAUUCACCGGAUGAUUGUAGAUUCAAUGUCUUGGGGAUCUGUUAAGUGAAUGAGAUGAAUCAGGGAAGCAAAAAACAACCAGGACGAUGCCGAGUUUCUGAGCGAAUUCAAGAACAAGACUGCGGCUGAGAGGAGCUUCAGCUUGAUUUCUAGUAGCGGUUCCGGAUCUUGCAUCUCGUCGCCGUCCUCGGUAGUUCCGACUCACAAGCUCAUCGUUGCCGUUGUUGCUCGCGGAUACGACAUGCUCACUGUUCUAAUCGGUAGCUCUCAACUAUUGUUUUUCUUCUGUUGAUAUGUUUCUUUUUCCUUUCUCUGUGUCUUGAACGAUUUCUUUGAUUUUUUGAUUGGCAAAUUCAGUUGCUAUUUUGUUGUUUGGUUGUAUUUAGCGUAGAAUUUGAUUCAAAUUAAGUUUCGAACAUUGAAAUUGUGGCGAUUGUGUCUUGUAAUUGAAGCUCAAGUUUUUAAAUUUUAGUAAUUAUAGUGGUUAGAAAAUAAAGUUUUAUUUUUUCAAU
rnacentral:lncRNA from 1 species